rnacentral:miRNA from 1 species
CGGUGAGCCUGUCAUUGUUUCA